UAAUACGUAGGGUGCGAGCGUUAAUCGGAAUUACUGGGCGUAAAGCGUGCGCAGGCGGUUCGUUGUGUCCGAUGUGAAAGCCCCGAGCUUAACUUGGGAAUGGCAUUGGAAACUGGCGGGCUGGAGUGUGGCAGAGGGGGGUGGAAUUCCACGUGUAGCAGUGAAAUGCGUGGAGAUGUGGAGGAACACCGAUGGCGAAGGCAGCCCCCUGGGCCAACACUGACGCUCAGGCACGAAAGCGUGGGGAGCAAACAGGA
rnacentral:rRNA from 1 species